GACGAACGCUGGCGGCGUGCUUAACACAUGCAAGUCGAGCGGUAAGGCCCUUUCGGGGUACGACGAGCGGCGAACGGGUGAGUAACACGUGGGUGACCUCGCCCUCAGCUCUGGGAGUAAAGCCUCGGGAAACCGGGUACUAAUACCGGAUAUGACUCCAUGACGCAUGUUGUGGGGUGGAAAGCCUUGUGCGGCUGAGGAUGGGCCCGCGGCCUAUCAGCUUGUUGGUGGGGUGANGGCCUACCAAGGCGACGACGGGUAGCCGGCCUGAGAGGGC
rnacentral:rRNA from 1 species